rnacentral:lncRNA from 1 species
AACACAGCCACAAGGAGACAUCUAUGAAGCAGAGAGUGAGCCCUUGUUAGACAUCAAAUCUUCUGACACCUUGAACUUGAGUUUUCCAUCUACUAGGACUAUAAUAGAAAAAAUAAAUGUGUCAAUGAAAGAGGAUAGACUUGGUAAAGGGACAAGCAAUGGUCUGUAAACAAGCCCAUAUGGAAAGGAAUUUGUUCUUCUAUGAGCCAACAUUUGGGGUAGUAAAAGAGGAUGAAAAUAGUGAUGUCUUUCAUCAUCAAACAGCAACAAAAUUCCUUCCUCACUUGCCCAACAAGAAGUGAUUGAAUUGUGGCUUAACCUAUUUUAGAUGGAACAUAUUUUACCUGCCAAUUUUGCUACAAUUUGUUUAUUAAGGCCACGAAGGAUGUCUCACACUUGUAAUCCCAGCAUUUUUGGAAGCAGAGGGCGGAGGAUCGCUUCAGGCCAGGAAUUUGAGACCAGCAUAGAAACCACUAGACAAUACGACAGAUGUAUCACAAAUCAGAUUCAAAACUGAAUAUUAGAACACUUGCAAAGAUGGCCAAAUAGGCAUGGCCAAGAAGACCUUCUCCCACAAAGAGAGAACAAAAUAUGAAGUAGACCAGCAUUUCCAAACAGAUCCUCUGAGAGAAUGAACUGAGAGUGGAUAGAAAGAUGGUGCAGACACCAGGACUGAAGGACUGAAGGGGAGGAGGAUGGACACCAACCACAGGGUCACCAAAUGCUAAAUACAUUCCUGGUCAUGAAUGGCUCCUAGGGUAGGGGUGAGUGAAAUAACUGUAGAGUGGUCCACUCUCUUUCUAUGUACCUCCAGAAUCCAAGCUAUUGUAAAACCCACAACCCCAUGGACGUUUGAGAUGGCAGUAUCAUCGCACAUCAGGCUAGUUUCAUGUGAUUUGGACUGAUAAUUUGCAUAAGUGCCGCAAGAACAUUGACUAAUCUUACACAGCUCUUUAGGCUGUUUUUCAGAUUUAGUCUUAGAGUAUUAAACAAUUAAUACGACCACAAAACUAACUUCUGUCUAGAAGUUUUCAUAAAUAAUUUCAUUUGGGUUUAUUAAAAUUCUUUAUAAGCCAACCAGAACAAUAAUUUCUUUAUGAUUGUAUUUAUGAAUAGCCUUUGACCACGGGACAACAUUCUACAAUCGCAUAAUUAGAAGCCAUCUGAAUUACAGACACAUACACACACAGACAAUUUCAAUUCUACAAUUUUAGUCACAGAUCAAAAGAUGCAAGGUAUAAAAACUCAUUUGUCCUGAUACCGUAGAGCAGCUUCACU